rnacentral:rRNA from 1 species
GCGUGAAGUUGGAAUCGCUAGUAAUCGCGGAUCAGCAUGCCGCGGUGAAUACGUUCCCGGGCCUUGUACACACCGCCCGUCACACCAUGAGAGUCGGGAACACCCGAAGUCCGUAGCCUAACAGCAAUGGGGCGCGGCCGAAGGUGGGUUCGAUAAUUGGGGUGAAGUCGUAACAAGGUAUC